AUUGAACGCUGGCGGCAUGCCUUACACAUGCAAGUCGAACGGUAACAGGUCUUCGGAUGCUGACGAGUGGCGAACGGGUGAGUAAUACAUCGGAACGUGCCCGAGAGUGGGGGAUAACGAGGCGAAAGCUUGCUUAAACCGGAUAAGGUCACAGGAUGAAAGCAGGGGACCGCAAGGCCUUGCGCCCACGGAGCGGCCGGUGGGAGAUUUGGUAGGUGGUGGGAUAAAAGCUUACCAAGCCGACGAUUUGUAGCUGGUCUGAGAGGACGACCAGCCACACUGGGACUGAGACACGGCCGAGACUCCUACGGGAGGCAGCAGUGGGGAAUUUUGGACAAUGGGCGCAAGCCUGAUCCAGCCAUGCCGCGUGCAGGAUGAAGGCCUUCGGGUUGUAAACUGCUUUUGUACGGAACGAAAAGACUCUGGUUAAUACCUGGGGUCCAUGACGGUACCGUAAGAAUAAGCACCGGCUAACUACGUGCCAGCCGCCGCGGUAAAAC
rnacentral:rRNA from 1 species